CCUACGGGGGGCAGCAGUGGGGAAUAUUGGACAAUGGGGGGAACCCUGAUCCAGCGACGCCGCGUGAGUGAAGAAGUAUUUCGGUAUGUAAAGCUCUAUCAGCAGGGAAGAAAAUGACGGUACCUGACUAAGAAGCCCUGGCUAACUACGUGCCAGCAGCCGCGGUAAGACGUAGGGGGCAAGCGUUAUCCGGAUUUACUGGGUGUAAAGGGAGCGUAGACGGUGCAGCAAGUCUGAUGUGAAAGGUCGGGGCCCAACCCCGGGACUGCAUUGGAAACUGUUGAACUGGAGUACAGGAGAGGGAGGCAGAAUUCCUGGUGUAGCGGUGAAAUGCGUAGAUAUUAGGAGGAACACCAGUGGCGAAGGCAGCUUACCAGGCGACUUCUGACGUUGAGGCACGAAAGCGUGGGGAGCAAACAGGAUUAGAUACCCUAGUAGUC
rnacentral:rRNA from 1 species